CGACCUCAGUUCAGGUGAGAUUACCGGCUGAAUUUAAGCAUAUUACUAAGCCGAGGAAAAGAAACUAACAAGGAUUCCCCUAGUAGCAGCGAGCGAACAGGGAAGAGCUCAGCGCUGAAUCCCCCGGGCCUCGCUCGGCGGGAAAUGUAGCGUUUGGGAGGGCCCGUCAACACGGCGACUCGCUCACUGGUUCAAGUCCAACUUGAAUGGGGCCACACAGAGGGUGACAGGCCCGUAGAGCAGGAGCGGUUGUCGUGUGGGUCUCUCCUUAGAGUCGGUUUGCUUGAGAGUGCAGACUUAAGUGGGUGGUAAACUCCAUCUAAGGCUAAAUAUGACCACGAGACCGAUAGCACACAAGUACCGUGAGGGAAAGGUGAAAAGAACUUUGAAGAGAGAGUUCAAGAGUACGUGAAACUGAAGUGGUGUAAACGGACGAGUUCGAAAAGUCCGAAUGGUGAGAUUCAAGCUUACCGUGCCGGUGGCCCUCGGGUUCAGAUGGCGUCGUCAGCUCGGGCUUCGGUUCGGGUCAUACGGCGUCACUCGUCCUGGGGGUAUCUGUCUGGUGCGGUGGGCUGCACUUCUCGCCUAGUAGGACGUCGCGACCCGUUGGGAUGUUCCGUUCACUGGCCCCUGGUGGAGCCCGCGCCGGAGCGUGGCCUUGUGCCGCGUUGCUGUUUGCACGGACCCGGGGUGACCUGAUCGGCGCCCGACGGUAUCAAAGCUUGGGAAGAGGCCGC
rnacentral:rRNA from 1 species